ACUCUUUGAUAUUUCCUGAAAAUUGCAAUUAUUGAAAAAUCAUUUUAAAAUCCAGUGUUACUUAAGUCAUUUUGGAAUGUGAGAUGGUAGAGUAUGAGUUUCUUAUUCUUGAUAUCAUUGUUGCUUGGAGAAUUUAUCUCAAAAUCUUCAAAAUUCUAGCUACCAUCCUCAGUGUUUUAUAUGCCUAAUAAGCCUGAAAAUAUUAAUGAUAAUUAUAAAAGCUAUCUACUCUGUAUUGAGUUUGUUCAAAAUCAGUUAGACCCAUGUUCAGAGAUUUAUCAUGC
rnacentral:lncRNA from 1 species